rnacentral:lncRNA from 1 species
GGCCUCCCAUUGGGCGCUCGAAGUAAGGAGGGGAAGAUGGCGGAGUGAGGGGGAAGGAAGGAGAGCGCCGUGGGCUGCGGCCCUGGGGCCUUAACUGAGGUAAGACAUGGCGGGCUCAGGGGCUUCGGUGGGGAAGGUUCGUGGGCACGAGGGCCUGUUGGACAGAAAAAACCAGCCUUGAGCUUGGAGCUCACUCGGCGAAGCCCGUCGGUUGAGCCGGCCGGAACCUGCUCUCUUUCUACGUGCCCGUCCCGGUUCUGUGCCGCUGGAGAGAGACAAGUUCUGGGGUCCGGAGCUUAUUCUUAUUACCUCAGUUCUGGCCUUUUACCUCAUAAGGGGCCUCCUUCCUCCUCCUCGUCCGGGGUUUGUGAGGGUGGAAGCAGCUCGCUUUUCUCUGCCUCCAGAGCCGCAAACUUGUAAGCGGGCUACGCCUGGAACGAGGGGGUCGAGAAUCGCUGCGUGGCCUCGGUGGCCAAGCCAGGGCGAUCCCCUCCUUUCCCCUCUCCCCUUUCCCCUACCUCCCCAAAGCUGGCAGGGAGCGAGGGCUUGCUGGUGAGGCCCUGCACGGGCGAGGUGCUCCAGGCACCCGGCGCUGUGCAGCGGCCAAGAAAGAGAGAGACAAGGCACACCGCCUCUCUAGUUCUCGAGCGGGUGGGGUUGGCGAGGCAUUGCUGCGGGUACUUGGGCCUCACUGGGCGUCCCAGUGGCGAAACCAUCGCCUGCCUUCUUUCCAGUGUUGAGAAGUGGGUUGGGGGUCGGUGCGCAUUUUCCAGGGGGGUCCUCUGUAGCUCCUGUGUUUUUCGAGGGAAGGCUGGAGUUCGUCGUGCCUGCAGCAGACUAGCCCGGCCUCUAGUCAUCGUUACUGCGCAGGGCCGAUUAUGUGUCCCCCUUUCUUUCUUGAGCUGACAGGGGUGCCAACUGGAAUAAAAUAUCGUGGGGACCAGGUAAGCCCCACCCCACAUAAUCAAUCACAUGACGCAUUUCCCACACGCUAUUUGAAUGGCGAUGCCCGUCAACUUUGUGGGGCCCCGGCCCCCUCAAAUAUUUUAUUGUGGGGUCCGAAGCCCCCAGGAGUUGGCUCCUGUGAGAGCUGUAUCUCUUGUUGAUUCAGCUCCCAUUUUCCCUUGUCUUGCACUUCACAGCUUUCAUGUGCCUGUGUGUAUCAGAAAUAGAACAAGCCAUAUGUUUUUGUGGGGAUCAGAAAGGCUUUCGCUGUCCUGUUUCCAUACUCGUAUAAGUGGACAUAUUUAUUUCCAUUAUUAUUUACUUUUUCUGUGAAUUUUGCUUUUUUUAAAAGAAAAAUAACCCCGGGUCUUAUUUGCUUCUUACAAUUCUGUGUUUAAUAAGUAACACAUACAAGCAAGAGUGACAGAUCAGCUGUUUUCUUAAAGAAGUUAAGAAAUAGGAGCCCAUCUGCAAUGAAGAAAUAAAUUAGGACUAGCUUUGGAAAAAACAUUGAAACAUACACUAUGAACAAGCUGGCAGAUCUUAUGUAGAAUUGCUGGUGAGCUUCAGCAGAUGGCUGGAGUGCAUUUUGAAUGCAUUAAUUUGUAUGCACUGUAUCCAUUACUAUAUAGACAAAGAGCAGCUGCAUCUUAUUGAAGCAGAUACUGCAGAAAUAUAUUUUUUUUAAUUGCAUACUUAGGAGAUUCUAUUUAUACAGCUGCCAAAAUGUCUUUGAAUGGAAAAGAGACAGAUGUGAAGAAAUGGAGGUCUAAUUCAAACUGCCCCAAGUAAGGGUCUAUCAUUUUUGGCGAGCUUUACUGGCAGAGUCAAAAUCUGUAGUUGCCAGCCCCCUUCUCUAUGAGCCAAGCCCCUUUCAAGCCUUUCCCAAGGGAAGAACUAGUGGAAAGAAUGCCAGGUUGCUGUCACUGCUUGAAAAUGUCCCAAACCUUCAAGCAACAAAUCAAGCACCCUCCCAAGGGAAGGGCUUGAGGGUAAUGUAGCCAAGGCAUGCAAGCCUUUCACACAGUGGUGCACAACGUACUCCACCUGCCUUUCCCAAGAGAAGGGUGGAUGGGGAGAGUAGCCACUUGGGUGCCACUGUUUGAAUGUCCCCCAAGUGCCUUCAGGCCAGUGGCGUAGCUAGCCACUUGGGCGCCAUGGAUAGCGGGGCAGGGUGAGCAGGGCACAAAGCCAGAAUCCCAGCGCCUGAGGUGUUACGUUCCGCUCAGGCGUCCUGCAGGCCCGCGUUUAUCUUUCAAGCAGCACAGAGCCUGCAGGAAGUCCGCCCAAUGCUUCCCCCUCAGCUGGAGGGUAAUUGAGAGGGAGGCGUUGGGCAGAGGCCAGUCCCACAGUGCUUUUUGGGGCGUCACGGUGUCUGCAGGUGCCCAAGACACCAUGGCUCAGGUUCGCUGUGGGCCCAGCACCGCUCGUGGGGCCAGCUCGUGCCAGUUGCAUCCUUCUCGGCUGCCCCCCCCGGCAGCUGUGGGGGAUGCAGCAGCUUGGCGCCCUGCAAGCACAGCCCUGGUCCGCACUGCGCUCUGAGGUGCUUGGAUUUGGGUGUCACCUUGGGCUCCAGCACUCAACACAAAUACACACCCCAGCUUCUGGCAAGGACACUGGGAAAUACAUGGAAAAGAUGAAAGCACUAAAAACUGUUAUUUUGCCAACCCAAAAACCUGGGUGUUAGUGAUAUAGACAUUUCCCCUGGAAAAAAUUAAUUCCAGCUUUGAAACUGCCUUAUUUGAUAGAUAAUUGCUAAUUCAUUUUAUAAAGCAAAGCAAUGCAUUUUUAUGGCCUUUCUGACACUAAUGGGACUAAAAUUCUAAAACUGCUGAUCUCUUCCUAAGUCUAUCUCCAUCUUCUCCAUCUUUGCUGGCAUGACACAGACACCAUUUUGCAGAGCUGGUGGUUGCUGUGUUGAGAUUGGGCCUUGAUCCAAGGCAAUGGGAUAUUACGAAAUAUAUAUAUAUAGUCAUAUAUAUUGUCCAGUAGCACCUUAGAGACCAACUGGGUUUGUUCUUGGUAUAAGCUUUCAUGUGCAUGCACACUUCUGGAUAUAUGGACUCUGUUCUGAAACUGUAUGCCAUCAGUGAUCCUAGCUACAUAAGUGACACCACAAACUUUCUGAGGAAAAUACAAUCUUUGAACAGGUAUCUGAAGAAGUGUGCAUGCACAUGAAAGCUUAUAUCAAGAACAAACUUAGUUGGUCUCUAAGGUGCUACUGGACAAUUUUUUUAUAUAUAUUUUGACUGCGUCAGACCAACACAGCUACCUACCUGAAUCUAAAAGAAUGGAAUAUUACGUUGUACUGAUAUUGCAGCCAUUGCACUUGAGUCUCAGCGGUGCUGUUCCAUUAUUAGAUCUUGCUUUAAAUUAGAUGAAGUACAGAAAUUUCAAUUCCUAUAACAGCCCUUUACUGUUGAGUACUGCCAAAGUACCUGUUAUAAGUAAUUACAUUUUACUAUCAUUCACUUCAUUGGUUUUAUUUACUAUUUUAAGAAAGCAGAUUAAAACUGCUUGGUACUAGAAUCAUUACAGCUGCUGACUAAACUGUGUCCUAUUCCCCUGCUCUGCUCAGUGCAAAGUGAUUAUUUUAAAACAUAGCUUCCAGUUUAUAUUUUGCUGAAUGGAGUAGGGAGAUAAGAGUUUCAGAUUCUUUUUUGGCCUUAGUCUUAUUGAUGACAAAAUUCUGUAAAUGAAGAACCACUGUUCUGGGGAAUUGAUUUGCAUCACAAAAUAGUCCUGGGCACCCCCUUCCUCCAAGCUUUACAUAAUGCCAUGUUAGCAUCAUGAUAAUAUUAAUACAUUAAACAUUUCAGUGUUGCUGUUCAGGGUGAAGGGGAUUUAUAUUAUUAAUUGGGUGAGUAGACAACCUGCUUUGUGAAUGUAGCAGUGAUUUCAAAAACACAAACCUAUUUUUAAAUCUUGCAUUACAGUUUCAAUACCUUGACUUGCAUCUUCACCUUCCACGGGUUUUCAUGUGAGUUGGGUAUAAUUCCAUCAUGUCACUGGAAAAUCUUGCAUUAUUUUGUUAUGAAAAUACUCUCAGAUAUGUGGAGAGGUGACUAGAACUGAAAGUAGUACGUAUAGCAGCCAAGUUCUCCCACUCUCCCCUUCCUACUUUCUUAUUAGUUAAGUAGCUCAGCAUUUCAGUUACUGUAAUUUAUCAAGAGAAUUGUCAAAGAAUUUAAAUAUGCUUUAAAAAAUUCUUGAGUAGUUAAUGCGGUUUGAUUUUUAAAAUGAAAUUUCAGAGUGCAAGAUGGUAUGAGAAUUUAAAGACCAUCUUAAAUGGCUAGAAAUUUCUAAAGGUGCUCACACUUCUUUGCCUUUAAAAAUAUUGUGUAUUGCAGAAAGUGAAUAAGCACCAGAAUGCCGCUGUUUGUAUGUACCGGGUAUAUGUGUGUGUUUAAUUGUAUGAUGAGCACCCCUGCUCACAGGUGAUCCAUCAUUCUACUUCUAGACUUGUCAGCUUUGCAUUCUUAAGACCUGAGUGUAGUCCUUCCCUUUGAAAUUUAAUUAGAAACUGCAGAUUUUCUGAUUGUCUCUAUUUGAAACACUCCAUCCUUUCCCCGAGAAUUGCAUAUUACUUGAUUAGAUAGUAAUUUGAGGGAAAUGUAACCCUUUGUGCUUCUUUAGUUAUGACUGCACUGUUAUAAGCUGUUGAAGAAAUGCAGAGGCUCUGAAUGAAAAAUGCAUUCAUUUGAGUAUUGCAUUUCUGACUGCUCAGUGAAGGCUAGGCAAAUAUGAUCUUGAUGAAUUAUACCCUGAUGUUAAAUGCAUUGGCUUGAAGAUAAGAGCUCUUUGAUGCAAUACCACUGUAUGGAGCAAUAAAGACAAAGUCCAAAGAAGGAAUUGUAACUCCAAGCAAACAGUGGAAAGGUACCAGGAAGGCAAAAUCAAUUGGUAGCUCCUGUGCACAUGUCCCCAAGCGUUUGGGAUUCACCUGUACCUUUCAGAAGUGGUGUGCAUACUUGUUGGGUUUUAGAGACUGUUGUAAAUCAUGGUUUGCCACUAAUCAUGAUUAGAAGCUUCUGGUUGUGUCACAUUUGCCAGGGGCAGGAUGAGAACAGGAGUGUGCAAGUCAGCUUCUUGUGGCAUAGUUAGCAUUGCAUCUACAUAAUCCCAUUGAUUACAAUGAGCACUUCUAUUUAUUCCUUAAGACAAAACUUAGGAGAUAAUUUAUGCCUCAUCUUGAAAGGACAUUGUCUGUUAUACUAGCAGGCUGUGCAUUGUCAUCAUGAUUUAUAUGGGUUCUGGCACUUCUUUGGUGCGUUCCAGCACCUCUGUAGCAUUGCAGCACAGGGGCACAGUUGCUCAGGGCUGCGCACCAGAGGCUGCAGGUGGCACUGCACUCCAUGCUGAGCAACUGAGGCUGUGAGUGGCACAGUCUCCGGUGCGGCGCAGCAGCAGUGGGGUGAGUGGGCAAAGAAGAGAGCCCCCCCCCCCCAAAAAAUGGUCACCAACUUUGGCUGGGCACUCCCCUAAGAAAAGCUCAACAAGUUCCAGCGCAUCUUCCUGGAAGAAAAGCCCUGGGUGGAGACUUUUUUCAAUACUAGGAAACCCAGUAUCUUUGGAUAAGAAGAGCAACAUGUGAUACAUUUUUUUCUGUGGCCUGAACUUGAGUUCCUUUCCUGUUGUGUGCCUAGGUCCAUGCAUGCACCAUCUUGAUUGGCAGUCAGAAUAAGAAAAUUAUCAGAAAGCUAAAGGCAAGAGUUCCUGGUUAUAAUUUAUGCAGCCAUAAAGCAAAAGGUAAGUGUUGGUUUAACCCUUCUUUGGAUAAUAUGAAAGCCGUUUGCUGCCUAGCAUCCUAGGAAUAGUGUUUAUGUUAUACAUUAAGCCUGCAACUUACACACAUUUAACUACUGCACAUUAAGCUUUACCACUUGGCAAAAUAAUAAAAAUAAGUAAACGGAUUUGCACAUCCAGGAAAAAAGACUUUGGCAAUUGCACCCAAUGUGUUUUGACUAUACAUGGUUUUGACUUUAGGCACAAUUCCUGGAACAUAGCCUCCAGGUAAGUUGCGGGCUUACUAUUCUUGGUUCAGAUGAGAGCAUACCAUUUGGAGUUUUUACUAAGAAACUUAGUAGUUUUGUUGACAACUCCCUUCUCAUGCAGUUCUAAAACCAAUAACUAUAAAUAACCCCUUCCAAAAUAAAGACACCACACAUGAAAGUUAGCUUUUUAUGAUAUUGCUUGACUGAUGUAUGAUUUUUAAAAGCUCUCAAUCUUUUCUUACACAGGGGAAAACAUUCUUGUGGUUGCAGUCAAAGAAUCAGGAGUCAGAAAAUUACAGUAGUCUUAUGCAACAGUAAGUAAAUAUGGAAAGGUGGUGUUAAGCUGAAUUGACAGAAAUUAUUUCAGGUCCUUGGAUAGAAAUCUAUAAAUGUAUAAAGUUGGAUAAAAGUAUCUGGGUGUUUUCCACUACCCACUUGAAAGUGUUUUCCCAGCAGAGGAGAAGUGGAGUCUUGGAUGUGUUUACACUGCCCUGCUCGGUUACCUAAGUGGGCUCGGCAACGUCUCUCCAAAUUCACUUCCUGCCAGCUGGACUGCAGGUUGACAGUUAUCACUCUCUCUCACUAGAUGAAUGCAUGGGACAAUGGCAACCCAGAUUUUCUUUUUCUUUUUUCUUCCAUCAGUCUGCCUUUCUGUGCUCCCCCCUUUCUCCAUCUUAGCAGGAUGAAUCUGCCAACCCUCUCUGGAGUCAUCCAACUAGGGGGGAAGGAAGCUAGGUCUCCCAUUUCCCCUCAUGACAUGAAACCGACUCAUAGUCUAAGUGUGCUGUAUUGAAAUGAUGAAACACUCACCAACUGCUCACAGUUUCUGUUUAUUCUCUGAAGUUUUCUUCCUCUGGCAAUCUCUUUAUUCCAUUGCAAUAUUUGAAUUAAUUAGCAUUUAUCCCUGAAAAAGGCUUAUUUCAUACAGCUUGAAUGAUGUACCAGGUAGACUUCUAGCACUGCUUGUAUAUAGCAUUGGCCACAGCAAUCAGGAUCUGUUCUUGGUGUGUGAAACCUGAGGGGUCCCAGAAUAAGAACUGCUUGGAAUACCAUGGGGGGGGGUCACAGGCACUGUAAUUCACCUGUAAAACAAUUCCUCCAAAUCUUUAAAAGUUCCAAGGUUCCCAUAAAAUGUAUGUGUGAAGUCAGUUUCAACUUAAUUUAGAGUGAAAUUACUUUCUUUUUUAAUUAGCUAAUUUGUGUGUGUAUGUUUCCAGGUCCUUUCCUGUCAACCCAACACAGGCUGCUAAAGGAGCUUUGACGGCUUCUGGUGAAGAAAACUCCUUCCUUUAUCUCCAUGAGGGAAAUGAAGGAAAAUGAAGAAGCACUGCUUAUUUUCUGCUCCACUCCUUAACAUGAAUUGGAGAUGUAAAGCCUGUAUUAUAGAAAAAAAAACUACUGUCCUUUCAGAGCAACUGAAAUUAAUGGCUGACAUUUCACUGAAACAUGCAAACUUUUUGUUCAGAGUUUUUGCACUCUAUAAAUGAUUGCAUAUAGAUAGAGGCAUAACCCUAAUUUGAUUGGCAUUUCCCCGCUUUCAAACUACCUUGGUAAAAUAACUGCCUACUCUCAACAUAGCAUUUAGAGAAGCGAGCAAAUUGAUAUAUCCUUGGAACUUGUUACACAAACCUUUAAAGAAAAUAUUGUGCAGAAAUAAAAGAAUAUACAGGUGUACUUAAAAUGAGGAAUAACUUCUUAAAAAGGAAAAAAAAACACCUUGCGAAAUUGCCCUGUUGGAAUUUUUCUCCUUUUAAAAGGAGCCAAUUUAUAGGUGUCCAUCUUGAUGCCAUUAUGUGAAGCAGUUGAAGCACAGUAGCAUUUAGUAAUUUUGUUCACUGUUUUGAGUAGACUAUUAAAAAACAAAACUUGCAUAUAUAAAUUUACAUAAUUGCUGGAAAGGAGAGGUGAUCCUGUGAGUUGCUGCUUUUCUAGCAAGAUCCUUCCCAAGGGGUUGAAUUCUUGAAACCAAACCCAGGAGCAAUGGGUUUUACAUGGUAUCCUCAGUCUUCCUAGGGAAUUCAGCAACAAAAGGAAGAAUACCUUUCUCCAAGCUUUUACCCAAAGGCACCAACUGAUAGUGUAAAAUAUAUGUGAAAUUUCCCACCAGUUGGAUGAACAAAGACAACACAUGCUCAGAAAGGGCUUCUUCACUAAUUCUGUGGGUCACUGAAAGUUAACGUGGAAAUUCUGUUUCUAACAUGUUUACAAAAUAUGCUUUGUCUCAAUUGCACAUGAUUCAUAUAGGACAUUUUCUUUAGCAUGGAAUAAUAGCUGAUUUAUUAGCCACACCUUGCAAGGGUAGAUUGAUUCCUGGUUUUUGAAAAGUCUCCCCCGCUUCCUUAUGCUGAAGCCCUCAGCACUGCACCUUCAGUCUUACUGAAAAUGUGAGUUUAAAAUCUGCCAAUGGCUUCAAAAUAUUUUCAAUCUGGGUAAAAAAAUGGGAGUGCAUGUUAUAAUGGCCAGUCUUGGUUAUUAACAUUUUCAGUGCUACUUGAUGUCUGGUUUGAGGUAGCAAUGGCAAUAUUUCCUGAGAUGGAAAACAGCGGCUGUUUGGGGUAUUUAAUAGUUUUGAAAGGAGCAUCCCAAGCUAAAUACUGGUAUUUGCUCAUCACUUAAUCUUAUGUUCCUUUUAUAUAAUAAAAGAUUCACAUAAAUACUUAGGAAAGCUUAUUCAGAUGCUUUCCUUAAUUCAAAUCAGUUUUUUUAAAAUGGAAUGUUUAAUAGAAGAUUAUCAAACAGGUAAAUAUUUAUAACUACUGAACAUAAUCAGAUUUAUGACUUGGGUCAGCUUGCUGGGGGGGGGAAUUGUCAUGGUUGUCAUUUAGAUUGGCUUUGAAGUAUACUUAAAUCCUAAUUCAAAUAGAAGUCCAGAAAUAAAAGUAGUUGGAUUUCCUUCUAGGUUCUUCUGAACAGGAAUUCCUGUUUAAUUUAUUGGGAUUUUAGAUAUAGGGUUAGGCUUCUUAGUGAAACAUUCUCUCAUUCUGGAACUGAAAAUUCAGAAGACAUCAAGUGUAGUGAUGAUUUGCUUCUAUGUCAGUAGACUUUAUGUUGUCUUCCUUACGUACUUCUUUCAGAUUUAAUUUGUAAAAGAAUAUGCUGGCACAGAGUGAAAAUGUUUAGUUUCCCUAAAUUGUCAGGAUAGAUAUAAGAGAAAGUGGCCAUAUCAGUUGCACAAAAUUCCAGCAAAGAACAACUCCCCCAUCCCUUUCCCUCAAGCUCCCCUGACUACAUGAGGACUCAGUUUAAAAUCUUGGAGAAACGAGUGCUGUACAUGGCCCAAGAAACCUGUUUGUAGUACUUCUCCUGUAGCAUCUUAAAAGUACUGUGUCAAGGCAAUACUGCCUUAAUCUUUUUAUUUUACAUUUUGAUCUGCAUCUGUUCAUGUUGGCAGGAAAUCUUUCCCUUAUGAAAAACAAAUACUGGGCACGUGCAAUAGUAUAAUAUAUACAUAUAAAUAUAUUUUAAUACUUGUGGACAAAAUGUUACAAGUUGUUUGAGAACAACAAAAUCACCAAUGUCUUCCAUUUUGAGAUGUGUAUAGUUCCAUAAGCAUUAGUGCUUUGUAGCAAAACUGUAGUGCCAUGUUAGGAUCAGUGCAUGAGCCUAGUAGUACUUUUUUUACAAUUUCAGAGUGACAAAUUAACAAGGCUGAUGGUGUAAUUCAUAAGAAACUGACAAGAUUAUGGUCAUGGGCUAAGGAUGCAGUGUCCUUUCUAGGCAAUGAUAGCUUAUAUUGGUGAAUAAAAUCAGUAGCAUGAGGAGUGCAUGGAUCUUGAAUCUGUAAGCAGGUAGAAGUGCACCUCAAAGAAACUACAAUUGAAACAGUCCUUAACAAAUCCUUUUUUGAGCAAAUAAUAUUUUGCUACAAUGGGAAAAUUCACUGAUCUCUUGGACCAAGAAGUUUCACAGAUUUAAGUGUGCAUAAGGCUAAUCUUUGCCACAACAUGUUCUCAUAAAAUGUCCCUUCAUAUAUGACUGUUCUCCAUUCAGAAGAGCCUAUAAACUUUUACUCAGUUACCCACUAGUUGCAUAUUUGCUCAUAAGUACCCUUAUGUUAGAGCAGCACACCAUCUAUCAAGUUGAAAAAAUGACUAAAUUAUAAAUAAUAACACUGCUACUGCUAUUCAAGAUUGGUAGUAUUCAUUUUUGAAAGCAAAUGAUUCUCAUUUUUCUACUUCCAUAGAAAGCACCUGAAGGAGUUUGCUGUUUUAAAAAUUUUUAAAUCAUUGCAGUACAACUAUUUGGGUCACUAAGAUGUCUCCCUGCUUAUAUUAUCAAUUUGCUUUUAGUUCAAAUAAGUGAGAUCAGCAAUUCAGGCACCUGAUUUUUCUGUGCAGAUCCUGUAGUCUGGACUGCUAUGAUUCUGUUUUUAGAAAACAACUACUUGUAGCUUAAAGAGGAUACUGCAUCUUUUUCUUGGUCUUGUCUGUAAAUGGCUACCUUGGUGAGGAAAAAAAUAUUUCUGGUUUUGGUUUACCAUUGGCUAAAAAUUCAUAGGAAACAUUUAAUUAACCACAAAACAAGAGAUCUAUGUUUAAAGGUCUCUGCCUAUUCUCCCUUGAAAUUUGGGAAGGUGGGUUGUUUACAAAUGAGCAGUGAGGACCUGAGCUCAGCCAAGGUUCUGUUGGAAAGAAAUGUAUCUGUCCCACUGAAUGAAAUAGUUUUUAGUGCUUGGGAGAAUCAAUUGAUGGAAAAAUACCUCUGAAACUGGAAUGCAAAAUAGCACAGUAUGUAGGGGGAAAGAAUCCCUGAUGCAAAUAAAGCCAUAAGAUGACUUAAUCAAUAGAACUUUAGUAGCAAUAACUGUUUGCAUGUAAUAGGAACUACUUGCAUUAGCAAGUAUUGUAUAGUAGAAUAAAUGGUACUAACCAAAUAGGUUUGUGGUGCUCUGUGUUGCAGGGAGUUGCCUGACAUGAUGAGUUUCUCUUUAAAAUGUUAGGAAAUUCCUCAAAGGAAGUUGGCACUUGAAUGCUUUAUUGAAGAGCCUGUUUAAAACUCCUGCAUAGCUCCCCCCCCCAUUGAUGCAACUAGGGCAGAAAUUUGUUGUGGUCAUGGGCUAAAGAUGCAGUGUGCAUGAGAAAGUGGAUGAACCCCUGUCCUCCUUGUCAAUAGAUAGCAUGUAGUUGAACUUCUGGUGUGAAAGGGAACUCUUCAGAGACUGUGAACAGGGCCAGGUUCAACCUAAACAUGCAAUUUAGAUUUGAUUGUGGAAACUUGUUGCCAUUACCUAAAGCUGGUUAGAUGUGUCAAAUUUUUGAGGAAUGUUGGCAAGGUACAAAGCAUCCUAGCACCUAGCAAGUGUUGUGUCUCCUGAAAAUGUUAUUUUUCUCUUUCAAAAACCUUUUAAAAACUUGUACGCCUGUUACGUGGUUUCACUCUUAAUUAUAAAAGCUACUUUUGAGUUUGGAAGCUUCUAUUCUAGAUGGGUAUGCCUGGCAAUCUUACCCUCACCACUCUAUAGAGUGCAGUUCAUACCUCUUUAAAAUGCAGCUUGCACUAACCUAGUAUGCAUGUAAGACCAUGUAAACUGUAAGCCUAAUAUGUAACUCUGCCUUAAACAGGAUUCAGCUGAAGUAGAACAGAUUCAUCUACAAGGUUGGGAUGUAUACUUGAAGGCUUUACCUUUAUUGUUUUCCUUAAUUGCAAGGAGUUAUAUCCCAGCUGGUGUGUGUCUGCCAAUAGAAGGCUUUUGAAUAGGGAUCAAGGCUAUUUUGGGUAGUUCCCCUCCCCUCAACAGCUGCCCAUACUGUUCCAAAGGGCCCACCAAUUCUCCAGGUCAGAUUUGAGUGGGAAGGAGGAAUCACUGAAGAGUGCCUCAACCCUUUUUCCACUGAUGGCUCCACUGUACUAAAGAGCCUUCCAUAAGCAGAAUAUGGCCAGAGGGUAGCCAGUAUCUAUCAUCAGUCUGAUCAACACAGCCAUCUGUUCAAGUGGAUGGAAGAAGCCCAUAUUUUAAAAGUAGAAUUGAUAUAUAUUCUGUACAGAACGACCCCUAUAUAUUCAUUCUGUAAUAUGAGCUUUACUAAUGGUUUCCAAAAUAGUGUUUGAAAUCUGAAUCAAGGAGACUGUCCUUUAUAUGUGAAAAAAUAGUCAACAAAAACCUGUGACUAUUUUGUCACAAAAUAUACAAGGCACUUUUUACUGUUUUCAAACAAACAUGAUUCUAGGGCUAAGGAAAUUUGCACUUUGUUAACCAUUCUGAGCAAACUAGCAGAAUCUGAAAGGCAUAUCACGGCUAUGCCACCAGUAGGACUUGCUUUGCUCUAAAUUUAUUUUGAGUUGCUGGUUUGCAGAUACUUUUCAAUUUGCAAAACUGGUGCUUGACUGACAUAGUGCUGCUGCUACCCAAUUUAAUAAAUAAUGAGCUUUUUAGCUUGGUAUCUGGAUAAGUGUGUGAGCUUCAUACAUGCAGGAUUUGCUGUUGUGGUGCUUAGUCAGAAACAUUUAGGAUGUGGUUAACUGUUUGAAGAUGCUUGGCUAUCUUGCAUAACCUCAUAAUGGAGAGCUUUGCUGCCUAGAUCUAUAGAAAUGAGGGGUUCUGUUACUCCAGAGCAGCCUUUGCCAGCCUGGUGCCCUCCAGAUGCUUUGUGCUGUAGGUCCCAUCAACUCCAGCAGCACAUCCAAAACAACUGGAGGACACCUGUGAGAGGCGGCUUCAACAAAUUGCACUUAAGCAGUUUGCACCUCAGUAGCUGUAGUAUUUAAACUCCUGAAGGUUUAGCACUGAAAUUUGUUUCCAUAAGCAGUUAAUGAGGGGAAAGAUCUUUCUAUGAAGUGGCUCUUCAUGGCACAUAAGCAGCACUUGGGGUAUACAUGGUGUAUACACCACCACCUCGCCUUCCAUUUAUUCUCCUAACAGCCUUUAUUCUAUCAGUGGAGAACAGGAUUUCAUUCUAAGUAUAUUAAGUGCCAUUCUUUAUGAAUGGUUGCAGGGGGCUCUUUUUUAAUAGUCUGUCUCUAUUCUACAUGUGCACUAGUUUUUACGAUAAAAUCCCCCUUACUUGACUUCUCCCUUUUAGACCUUUUAUUCUUGCUUUGCACUUUGAAGAAUAGUAAUUAUUGAGCAGUAGAAGUCCAAGCACAAUACAUGGGUGCCAAUAAAUGUAUUUUCCAAACAGGCUUCUGGGAUAUAGAUGGUAAGUUUGCAAGUGGUAGCGUUGGAUCUUUGCAACAGGAUUUGGAGGCCUAAGCUGAACUGAAUUUUUGUACCAUGCUUUAUUAAGUACUUGAAGAUUGAGGGUGGGGGUGGAGGAAGGACAAGGAGUUUAUGCCCUCACCCUGUACACAGAAAGGCAAUGAGUUCUCCCUGCCCUGAAAUGUAGAGGAAUGGUCAGCUAAGUGGUGCUCCCCAAAGACUACAGGAAUAAAAGCUUAGUAGGGUAUCUGCUGAACAAAGAACUCAUUUGUAUGAAAGGACUCCUAUGACGGGAAUGUGGAAAACAAAAUACUAGAGAAUGAGAAUAUGUCAUGUGAUGGGGCAGGGGAGAAUGCCCCAAGGUGAAGAUUUCCUACCUAACUAGAUGAGAAGAAAGCAGGUUUAGAGCUGGAAAUUGGUUCUAUCUGAGGGGGGGGCAGGAUGAAAGCAUUCGAGUUUGAUCACUUGCUAGUUCGUUUUAGAUGGAAUUGUCAACUUUCCCUAAUUACAGCACAAUGAACAUUCCACAGAGUUUAGCAUUUAAAUAGUUGCAACUUAUCUGUCCUCUGCUAUCUUUGACAAACCCUUGGACGGCAGAUGAGGUUGUGAAACUCAAGUAUGGAAAACAUACAUGGAAAAUUGACAAUGGCACAAGCACAUAGGCUCACAAACCAAGUCUUUUAUAGAGGUAGUAUUCUAAUUAUGCAUGAUUAAGAUGUCUAGUGUUAUAGUUAUUACCAGUAAAUUGAUAUAUGCAUUUAUACAUAAUGAAGCAAUAGGAACUAAUAUACCAAUAGCUUGAACUUACUGCUUUGAUUCUCAGAUUUUGAUUUUAGAGAACAUUCUGUCUCUUUAAAGGAGGCAGAAUGUACAAAUAAGAGAAGCAUGACACCAAAACUGUGUAUUUGAAAGAAGAAUCAGCAGAAUGAGCCCUUUUGACCUCUUACCAGGUUCAUUGUGUUCCCUUGAGCCUACAUAAUAUGAGCAUGGUUGGUGGUAAGAUGGGUUUCUUGGCUGCUGCAAUUGUACAAAUAAAAAAGGUGCAGAGUUUCAGAGUACAGAGAAGGCACUAGAUGAACCCCAAAUAGGGCAAUAGCAAAAUGUUGUAUGUAGUAGGAUUUUUCAGGUAACAAGAAGGAAGGAACCUGGAUCACAACCUGUUGGCUGCAAAUAAAUGAGAAUUUAGGUGGAUGAAAUCAUUAAGCAGUCCUUACUCUUCAGGUAUUGAGUUUAAAUGACAGGUUCUCCCCGCCAGGUAUCUCUCACCCUGUUAGGCAGCUAUACCAAGAUGAACUGGUUUCAGACCAGCAUUAAUAUACCUUAUAAUAACUAAUCUGAAAAUGGCAAAGUUCUGCUUUAGACACAAAGCAAGGUAAAGCUUGCUAAGUAGGAGUGGAGCUUGCUAACUAGAUUCAAGAGAGUAAAUGGCACCCCCAUAAAAAAUUAUUGGUUUAGUUACAAAAAAAGUAAAGUGGGUGCAUUUAAUGGUAGAAUAUAUAUGCUGAAUACGUAGAGGAUGGUAGAAGCAUAGCCCUUUUAUCUAAACCUGGACUAGAAAAUUAUUUUCCUAAUGUGAAGGUGCUGCUUAAAAUAAACACUGAGUUUAAAGUUCCUUAACUAGAUUAUGGCUAUACUAGUUUCUGCAGAGCAAGUUACAAACACUUCUUCAUAUCAAAGUUUGUUUUCUCAUAGAUCUGAAAAAGGGUUCGUUAUGGCAAGUCUGCAUUUUAUGUUAGUGGUUAUUUUCCCAAUCAUUUAUUUUAAGCUUGUUAUAGAGGCCAUAUUUUUUACAUUGCCAGUCUCAGUAAUUAGUAGCUGCCAAAUAGAUGUAUGAAUAUUGGAGACGUGAGUGCAGGCUUGUAAUGACAUCAGUUUGACUUCCCCUCUGAUUUCAUGUUAACAUGAAAAUACUCCAUAGUAUUUUAUCAUUGAAUUGUUUUCCCCAAACUCUGUCCCUCUUGUAGGUUGUGAUUUAGGUCUCUGCUAAUUAAUUUCUUCUUUCAGAGCAAAGAAAAGAUUGUCUUUGCAAAUGCAUAGGAUAACUGAUCAUAAUAAAAGGAUUGUGAAAGCUAGUCUGGGAAAAUGUACAGAAAUAUUGUAUAAAUUUUAGAAGUAGGCUUAAAUUUUGUCAACUCACUUGAACAAGCAGUACAGACAAGGAAGGUAUAAGCCACUGCAAAGUAUUUACUCCCAUUGCACAAUUAUGUAACAAAUACCACAAAUCUACCCAUGUAUAUAUCUGAAGAUUUCCAAAAGGCAGCUUGCUUUUAUAUCUAUGCAUCUUUUGGGGAGGGAAAGAGGGUGUUAAAAUUAUUCUUUUGACACUGUAAACAAUAAUUGUUCAAAACUGAACCUGGAAACUCUGCACCUGUAUACAAUUUUUUAGCAAUAAAGCAGCAUGGGCUGAGAAUGCACUUAAAAU